UGCAAAUUGGGAAUAAGAACACUGGUUGGUUACGGGUGCUUCAGAAAGAGACAGCUAGAAAAGUAAUUAAAUUCCUCAAAUCUACAGGUCUAUAUCACAAGUUAUAGAUCUCAGCGUUAACGUAGCAAUUACGUUAUUCAGCCAGUGGUAGGCAGUAAUGCACUAAACCAUGCCCAGGCUUAAAGAAGAAGAAGACAGCAGACUACUUGUAAAAAAACAAAAACAAACACAUGAUGACUGUAUGGAGAUAUUCUGUAUUUGAUGCAUAUCAUCAGGUACAAGUUAUAGAUAAUGAAAAGCCAGGACGCAAGCGGUGCCACAGGAGGAAAGCAGCUCAAAGACAGACAUCUGGAUCUGUACACAGAGUUUCAUGCUUGAAGGAGAUGAAACCACCAAACUCCCAGUUUCAAGUUGGAGACAUCACCCCCCCCCCACCUCGUCUCCUUGUGCUCCCCUUUUAGCUGAGCUACACUGCAAGCUCAAUCUGCUGGCAUCCCAGCUAUUUCAAACACUCUGAAGUACUGAGGUGGAAACAUGUGAGGAAUCUGGAUGAUUGAACCUCCACUCCCCCUCCAUCCACUCCCUCUGUCCCUGCUCUCUGUUACCUGCUGAGGGGGAGGAGAGGACAGCGGAGGCCUGGUUGUCUGGACGAGGUUAUUACGGCAUAUCAGUGACACUGAGGAGGAAGACCCGCUGACUUAUGGAGUGAUGCCUGGUGGGCUGAAAGCAGAGGGACUCUGCAGUGCGAGAUGGCUCAUGGCGGGUGGAGUGGGAGGGUUCAGCAGUAAGAGCUGGCCUCCUGGAUGGAGGAGAUGUCCUGAGUGCCCACAUGAUGAGAAUAAGAGGCUUCUCUCAGAAAAGUUUGCCAUUAUCAAACCCAUUUCUUGGGCUCCUGCUACAGAUUUUUGUUCCUGUCUAUCCGAACACCUAAACUCCGCUCUCGCACGUUCUGCCAGGGUUCGUUUACAUCACCACAUGGCUACAGAGAAGCUAUAUGGUUCAAAUUAGACCCUCAGGCGUGCAUCUACUUCUGACUUCUCUCCAAUCUCCCCCACCCCCCCGCCACACACUCGGCGCAUUUGUUUCAUAUUUUGCACAGGAUAUGACUCACCUAUGUUUGAUGUUUUAAUUAUACAGUGUCAGUGAUAUAUUGGGAGAAGAAGGAGAGGUCUCUGUAAGAUUUGGCGCUGUGGAGUUACAAUAACAUAUCACUGCCAUUCAUGAUUAACAGCAGCACCCUCGAGGAAGAACAAAGAAUGAUCUUUCUCAGGAGAACAAGUCUGUUUUGUACUCAGUGAUUCUCAACAGUGAGUAUGUUGGUUAGGCUUCUAUAGCAUUUAGAGAGACGGGGAGGGACUUUUGCAGCUCUGGCCCAGUUCACUGUAAGGGAGUGGAUUGUCUAUGUGCCACUGUAGUAAAAAAAACCCUGUAUAAUGGUUGAUUGACUCAAUAAAGGCUUACAACACAA